UCAAGGUAGCGAAAACACGUCAGUCAGCUGUUGUUGUUGACACUUUGGAUAACGCCGCAUUUUUUCGAAUAUUUGUAUUGUUAUUAAUAACAUUAAACCCUGUGUUACUAAUACUGUCUUGGUUAGAAUGUGUAUAUCAUCCUAGCUUAGAUACUGGAAGAAGAAGUUUUAAUAUGGCCUCUAAGUUGCAGAAGGCUCUGUUUUCUGCUAUUGAACAUCAGUACUUGGCACAAGUGAAGAAAAUAGUUCAAGCUAGAGAGAAAGCUUCACUCAUCACAGACUGGCAAAAGUUACUGGAGCCCAAGUCUCUUGACACAGUUCUGCAUGCAGCCGUCCGUGUCAAACACGAAUCAAUACUCAAGUAUUUGCUUGAGAAUUGUUCCUCAUGUCUAGAGCAGAGUAACAGCAGUAGCAUGAGGCCUCUGCAUGUAGCAACAGUUCAGUGUCACAUGUAUGCAGUCAAUCUCCUUCUUGCAGCAGGUACCUAGGAGCAGAGGUGGAUGCUCCUAGUGAGAACCACAUGACACCAUUGAUGCUUGCAUCAGGCCAGCAAGAAAGAGAUGCACUUCACAUCGUAAGGAUGUUGCUAAAUUCAGGUGCCAAUGGUGCAGCAUGUAAUACCGUGAGUUGAGCUACUGCAUAGAUAUCUUAUUUCUUGCUGAAGUGGAGACAGGGGAUUACAUAUGCAUUUCCAAACCUAA
rnacentral:misc_RNA from 1 species